rnacentral:rRNA from 1 species
UACAGAGGUCUCAAGCGUUGUUCGGAUUCAUUGGGCGUAAAGGGUGCGUAGGUGGCGCUGUAAGUCGGGUGUGAAAUUUCGGAGCUUAACUCCGAAACUGCAUUCGAUACUGCGGUGCUUGAGGACUGGAGAGGAGACUGGAAUUCAUGGUGUAGCAGUGAAAUGCGUAGAGAUCAUGAGGAAGACCAGUGGCGAAGGCGGGUCUCUGGACAGUUCCUGACACUGAGGCACGAAGACCAGGGGAGCAAACGGG